GCAGGGGGCGGGGGGGCAGGGCUCACGAUGUCACCUGUGGCACAGCUGCUGCAGUGGGCCAGGGAGCUCCAGAUUCCCUGGGUCACCGUCUUACCAGGGCCUGGGUUGGGGCCUGGGUUGGGGCCAUGGGAUCGCAGAAGCAGCACUGGAGGCUGGUGCCCUGUUCCUUCCACCAAAACUGGGCAGACCCUCUCCUCAAGGGAAGGUGCCGGGGGCUGGCUGCAGGCCCUGCCUGAGGCAGAUCUGAUGACCUUGGGCCAGGAAGACAAGGCCAUUUGUGGCCCAAACCCUUUCCUGGGGCUUAUUCUCAAGGAUGUAUCCUGGUGGGGGGUGUCUCCAGGGGUCGGUCUGUAGAAGGAUGCUAGACCCUCUCUGGGAGCUCCUAGCCUAACACGAACAAACAAAAGAACAGCUUGCUGCCCCACGGGUUCCUGGGGCUGGGUGCAGAGCAAGCCUUCACAUUCACUUUCUGAAUGACUGUGCCAAGGGCCAGCUGUGGCCCCCACGAGUACGUCUUCCGGGCAGGAUGUCCCUCGAGAGCUGUGCUUGCCUCUCACCAACUUACCACUAACCCCACUCCCAGGCGGGGCACGGUGGCUCACACCUGUAAUCCCAGCACUUUGGGAGGCCGAGGUGGGCGGAUCACUUGAGGUCCGGAGUUCGAGACCAGCCUGGCCAACGUGGUGAAACCCCGACUCUACUAAAAAUACAAAAAUUAGCCGGGCGUGGUGGCAGGCGCCUGUAAUCCCAGCUACUCGGGAGGGUGAGGCAGGAGAAUCGCUUGAAUCUGGGAGGUGGAGGUUGCAGUGAGCCGAGAUCUCACCACUGCAUUCCAGCCCGGGGGACAGAGCAAGACUCCAUCUCAAAAACAAACAAACAAACAAAAAAGCCAACUACCCCCCAGCCCCCCCCCAACACAGCCCGGAAAAGCAGCCCUGCUGUUUGGAAUCUGACCCCUUAAAGUCCUUCUGUCUGUCCUACCUGGGAGCCUCUAGCUGCUGCCAAAGGCUUUCCCAAGCCCAGCUCUCACAUGUAUCCUGCAAAGGACAGUGGCUGUCCCCUGAGCCUGACUUGGCCAAGGGGCUCUGCAGUGCCUCCCGGGAGGAGGUGAGUCACUGCAGCCGCCUGACCCUCAGCCUUCUCUGGAGCAGGAGGCAGCAGCUGCUUUACAGCUGCAUAAAACAUUAGAGGGAAAUUUAGGACAAAAGAGGAAGACGAUUAGAGCAUCCAAUUUAAACCUAGGGAGGGCAUACGGAACCCAAAACGGCACUGCCCUAAUUCAGGAGCAGAGGGAGGCACGGGCUCUGCAACUGCUGACAAGAACCAAAAUACUCACCCAGUUUUCUUCUGCAAAAGAGACCCAAAGUUGCCUGACAAGACGCCCACAGAUGUCCCAGGCCCCGCGGGAGCCGACCUCCUCCCCAGGGGAUGAUGCAGCCCGCUCCGUGCCCAUGCCAGCUGGCCCAGGGCACAGCAGAUGCCCCAGGUCACCAUCCUUCCAGGGACCUGGCUCAGAGCCAUGGGAUGUUCUGUUCUUUCCGCCAAGACUCUGUGGGCACCGCUGUGGCAGGCCAGAGCAAGGCUGAGAAGUGGCCGGGAAGGAGCCACAUCCAACUGUGCAGGCAGCUCCCCCCAGCUCCCUCCCUGCUCUCUGCUCUCCCUGGACCAACUGGCCCAGCCUAAGGCCGUGCAGGGCCUGGACAGCAGGGUCUGACCCCAGCCUUCCUGGGCCUGGGUCACAACACUCUUGCUUUCGGGUCAGCAUCUGCAAUGGUGCUUCCUCCUGGGGACAGGGGUGUGGCCCCCUUGGCUGGUCAACUCUGCUGUGCCCCUUGGCUCUUGCUGUCCACUGGAGAAGAUGGUCCCAGGGAAGCAGAGGCUGCCCAGAGACGGGGGCUUUCCGUGUGGGGCUUUCGGUAUGGGGCCAGAUGAGCAGGUCUCUAUCUCCAGACCAGCCUUCAGCAACUUCCAGCUGCGAGAUGCGGGCACCCAGUCCUCACUUUAACCACAGGACCACAGAGACGAGGGGAAAAGCAAAACAAGGGAGGCCAAUGGUUUGGGGACCCUGGCUCUGCCCUCAGGAGCACACUGGGCCUGCCUGCCGGGUUGGUCUGUAAGCCAGUGAGCACUCCCCUCCCACCCCACCAUGCACCCAGCAUCUGAGCUGCCAGGGUCCCCUUUGACCCCCGCAGUGCAGGUGUGCUGGCACCAUCGGCCAGAUCCACUGUACUGGGGCCUGGCUUAGCCUCUAGUGGAGUGGGGUCUACCAAAUGACAAUAGGCCAGGGCCGGAGAAACUGAGGAAAGUGAGACCCUCUCAGUGGGGCAGAGCUGCAGGCCCACCCAGAUGCUGCUUUCUUGGGGGAAUUUAGGAAUCUCUGAAGCAAAUGCAUGCUUCAGUUACAGAGUAGUGCUCGAGCACAUUAGCAGGACUUGAAAUGGACAGGCAUUCCUGCCCUGGUCCUGGUAAGGUGAAUUAGCAUAAUAAAAGCAAAUGUGCUCUGCCCAGGGUUUUUGGAAGUGAGGUGGUUUAUGUGAUCUUCAGCUGCCUGUUCCGUCCUUCAGCUUGUAUGUAAGAAGCACCAGGAAACACCCUCCCCCAUGGACACUAAAGCAGGGGCCGUUCUGUCACGGAGCAGCCACCUCCAGAUGGCUGUGCACCUGCACACCUGCUGGCACGCCCUGCCCGGAGCCAGGGCCAGAUCCUGAGCCAGUUCCACAGGCACCAGCAGGUCCCAGGACCUGCAGCUUGGAGCAGAGGAUGGGCUGGGCUCAGGGGCUGCCCCCAGAUUCCAUCGUGGACUCCAGCCUGCACACGGGUCGCCUGCGAUUCGGAUUCAGCAGGUCUGGCCCCGGGACCUUGUGAUUCCAAUGGUUCCACCUCUCUUAGAGGCAGCUGCUCUGCCCUGGGGGUCUCGAGGGACGGAGGGUAGGCAGAGCAUCCAGGAGGCACGAAAGCCCAGGAGAGCAGCGAGGCUCCAGAGCCACUGGAAGAAGGUAGAGGAGGGGGAGGCAGCUGUGGCCAGACGCUAGAGAUUAAGACAGGACCAGGGUCCGGCGCGGUGGCUCACGCCUGUAAUCCCAGCACUUUGGGAGGCCGAGGCAGGCGGAUCACGAGGUCAGGAGAUCAAGACCAUCCUGGCUAACACGGUGAAACCCCGUCUCUACUAAAAAUACAAAAAAAUGGCCGGGCGCGGUGGCUCAGCCUGUAAUCCCAGCACUUUGGGAGGCUGAGGUGGGCGGAUCACAAGGUCAGGAGAUAGAGAUCAUCCUCUGAAUGGCGAAACCCCGUCUCUACUAAAAAUAAAAAUAAAAAUAAUUAGCCGGGCGUGGUGGUGGGCGCCUGUGGUCCCAGCUACUUGGGAGACUAAGGCAGGAGAAUGCCAUGAACCCGGGAGGCGGAGCUUGCAGUGAGUCGAGAUCGCGUCACUGCACUCCAGCCUGGGUGACAGAGCGAGACUCCGUCUCAAAAAAAAAAAAAAAAGCCUGGACCAGGAACUGGGGGCGGAUUUGGAGCAAAUGUUACUCCAAGUGACCUCCAGACCCUAGUGACCUUGUCCAGCCAUAGAGACCAUCCCUGCAUCAUUGACCCCAGCCCAGUCUGGCCCUCACUCCCUGGACACUUGAGAAUCCAGCAGCAACUGCCUGUCCCUACUUGGGUGGCCACAGCAGGCCAUUCGUCUCGAUCUUCCCUAUCCCAGGACAUGGCGUGGCCUUCACGGGCCCACCUGCCCGGCCUCAGUCCGAACGCUUCCCACCUCCCCUUCCCUCCCAGCCCUCCUCAUUCCUCCGGGUUCCACCUUCACAGCCCCUCCACCGCCACCCCCACCCUCACUGGACCCCAGGGAGGGAACCCAGCAGGUCUCAUAGAGCCCUCUCCCCGGCAGCCAGACCUCAGAGGCUCCCCUCCAGCCGCUAGCUCCAACGAGGCGGAGUCCUGGCCCAGGCUCUUCCUUCGCCACCUCUGCCUCCUCCAUGGCAGACCUGGAUUUCUUUUUUAACCAGCCUGCCACCCCUGCUACUAGAACAGGAGCCCCAGAUGAGCAGGGGCCAGUGACUUGUUCUCAAAGGGGCCAAAUGCCUUCCUGGUCACUCCUGGGAGUCAGGGGUGCCGGCCCGCCCACGUAGCCCAGAGGGACGGAGGGCCUCACCUGCAGCCCUGCUGGCCACUUUCCCUCUGGGCCAGCUGGACCCCAAAUCUGGCCCUUCGGGGAACCCACAGAGGCCUCUGCUGUGUCUACCGGGUUCCUGGCUCCUCCAGCAAAUUGUGCCUCCUCGUCCGGGGUGUGGGGGGAUGUAAGUUCAGCCGCAUCAAGGGCCCUGAGGAGGGAGCCUCGUGCUGGGAGAGCCACCGGAGCUCAGAGACAGCUUCCCUGAAGUCCCGAGUUGGGCCCUGGGGAUGUGCUGGAGCUCACCUGCUGCUGCAGGGAGAUGGGGGUCCUGGCAGAGGAGCUGCGGGUGCAAAGGCCCUGUGUCUGUCAGCGGGUGCAAAGGUCCUGUGUCAGCAGCUCAGGGAGAGCCCAGUGUACUGCAAGAGACAGCGUGGGUGGGGGGACCAAGGCUGAGGAGUGGGCGAGAUCAGCAGCUCAGGCUGGGAGGGACAUCUCUGAGCACAGAGGGACAGUUUCACUACAGGGCAAACGGGGUCCUUCUGGCCUCCUGGAGCUAGUCCUGUCCCCUCCACACAGCCCAGUGCCUGGUAUGGACACAGGCCUCAAAGGGUCAGCCCAGCAGGCAGAGGCGGGAGCUGCUGGGAUCAGCACGCUGGGCUUCGUGGUGGUCACAGCAGGGACACCCAAAAGAGCCGCCAGGAUGGCAAGUGUCCCUGGCAUCUGAGGCCCAUAGAAGUGCCCUUUGCCCAGCAGGAUCGUAGACAGGAUGGGGACCCCCCAAGGGGUGGAGGGCCCAGGGCAGUCUGGCCCAGGCUUUGAACCCAUUCACUAGAAUAACCGUCCUAAAGAAAGAAAUGGCAGUGGGGGAGUGACCAGGGGCCCGAGCCAGCUCUGCGGGAGAUGUAGGGCCUUGCAGAGUCACGAACACCUGCCUGCAUCUCCCAUUGUCCUGCAGGUGGGCGGAGCCGCACCCAGUGCAGCCGGUGGUGGGGGCGGGGCCAGCUGGGCUUGGUCUUGCAAACUGCACAUCUUCUAGGAACUGGCUCCAGAACCAAAGCGGAGGUGGUUUUCCCCGGAGCUGCCUCAGGACCCCGAGGGGGUGGUGUUCAAGGUGGACUCCCCGGGGGCCUGCCAAGGCCUGAUGUUCUGAGUGGGGCUUUGGCUGGAGUGUGGCCUCAGUCCCUGGGUGGACAGGUGGGUGAGGCCCUGUGCAGUGUCCUGGGCCAUUCUGCUGUGCACAGCUCUCGUCCCCUGGGCUCUGGGGCCCCCUGGCCCCUCACUCUCUUCCAGGACUCAGCAGGCACCACCCUGGGCUCCUGGGUUGACUUCCUACGGUAGGAGGAGGCUGCCCCCUGGAGCAGCCUGGGGGCUACAGGAUUGGGAAAGUUUUAGUAAAAAAAAGGGGCAGUAGGCUCAAUUUGAACCCCACGCUGGAGGUACCAGCCAAAACCCCAACUGCAGAAACACAGGGCCUGGCUUCUACUCCAAGUAUGGGGGCUGCACCCAGGGCCCAGGGUGAGGCUGGUGGGCCCAGCUUAGCCCCCAGUCGCAAGGGCCAGCUCAGCUGCUCCGCUCUCGGCCCCCUCAGGCUGGCACAGAGUGGGGCCCUGACAAGGGGCCCUGUGGGAGCAGCCGGGGCUUUCCUGGAGCCUCUCUCUAGGGUGGAUGGGAGCGAAAUCGACACACUGAUAUGUAACCAUGGAUUAUGACGGAAGAAAGGAGCGAGCACUCAGAAAACAAAAAGGGGGCCUCGCGCAGGGCAUGGAGGCGGCGCUGCUGGUAAAAUCCUGAGCACUGGGAAGCAGGGGAGACAGCCCCGCGGGGACGAAGGCUGCUUGGGAGCUGGGCGUGGCGGACGCACAGCCCCGGGAAUGUGCUAAAUGCCACGGAGUUGUUCAGUUGAUAGUGGUUGCUGUCAGUUAGGUGAAUCUCACCUCGAUUUAAAAAAAAAGGCAAAAAAAAAAAAAAAAAAAAAGAA